ensembl:lncRNA
UAAGAUCCUCCUUCCAAGUAAGAUUACAUUCACAGGUUCCUGGUAGAUACGAAUUUUGGGUGGACACUAUUCAACCCAGUACAGUCACCAACCCCUGCAGUUAGGAAGGGAAAGCCAACUCCUCAGGAGCACAUCUCUGAAGCCAAGGGGGAAAGAGGUGUCUUUCCUUAUUCUUCGCUAAGUGCUGCCACUGUGGCUGCGAGGCCAGGGGUCCCAGAGGGGACCUGUGGUUGCUUCACUCCUAGACAGUAAAGUCAGCCACACAGCUAAAUAUACAGAUCAGGGAACCAGAAUGCUGGCUCCACAGACGAAAUGCCGCCUCUGUCAGCUCCAUCAGCUCACUUGAUAGCAUUGGACUUUGGGCAGAUACUUUACCUCGCUAAACCUCAAUUUACUCAUCUUGUAAAAUGCAGCUAAUAAUAGUUCUAUGUCAUAGAGAUGUUGUUAGUAUUGAUAAAAUAUGGUAAAGUGUUUAGCAUAAUCUCUGACACAUAGGAAGUGAUCUAAAAAGAAUAGCUAUCAUCAUCAUUAUGAGUUGACCUUCACUACAAUCCUAGGAAGUGGUUGAGGCAUGUCAGAGUGUGCCCUGAUGAAGCAACUGAGACUUAGAGAAGGUAAGCGAUUUACCCAGGCUCACAUACAAUCCAUCAUUAAAGCCACGGCCUACUGGUCCUGUGCUUUCUUCAACACCAUAGCAUCUCCUGCUUUUCUGGGGACUAGUCUUCAGGACCCAGCUGAAGGUGGGACAUGAGGUGGAGCGGGGGAGGGGUGAAUCAUAUGCCUCACACCCCAUUUGUGAGAGUUUGGGGCAUCUCCAAACUAGAGCUUUCCUAGGUGAUGUGUCUACCUUCCUUUUAGGUCCUGCACUACAUAGGGACUGCCUAAUUCCUACCUGUGCCCUUCGCUCCUUCCCACAGCCUGGCCCAAGGAUGCUUCCUCCUAGCUCUCCUCACCCUCCCUGAAGGCCUCAACCUCACAGCUUUUGCCUAUCUGGCCAGUCCCCUCCUGCGAUGCUACAGUCCAGAACCUUACACAACACAUCUCUGGGACUACUGGUGCUGUAACCUCCCUGCCUCCUGGUCACCCUCCUUCCAGUCUACAAGGCACCCUGCGACAUAACUGUAUUCUAAGAAAGCCUCCUUCAUUUUGUCUGUCAUCUGCCUUCUUCAGAAUCCACAGGCUCCCUAUGGCCAUGCCAAAAGCAUGGCUUUCUAAACUAAGAGGGGAUUUGAGAAAUGAUUCAGCUGGACUCCCUUGUUUCACAGAUGAAGAAUCUGACGCUCAGAAAAGAUGCGUGACUUGCCCAGGGCGGAGCCAAAACUGUAGUGAGGCCUCUACGUGAUGAGAACUUACUAUCCAUCCUAACUCUCUUGCACAUCACAAUACAUGCAGAGACUGCAUAUACAUGCUUAACUUCUCUGACCUUUGUAACAUGGGAAUAAUAAUCUUUAAUUUGGGGAAAAUGUUGUGAGGAUAGAAUGAAACUGUUGUUUAUCAAUUGCUAAAGGCUGUAGAGAACAUUGACUCCUGAGAACUUGACGCAGAUUAUUUACUCAAUAUUCACAGCAACCACAUGAGAGUAGUAGUAUUCACCCCAUAGUAGAAACAAGGAACUGAGGCAUAGAGGUCACCUGGCUCACCCCUGUCCUGACAGCUCCUCUUUUGCCCUGGCUUCCUCCAUCCACCCCUUCACACACACACACUACACAACCAAGUGCCUCAUGUAGUUUUCCUCCUAUCUGGAUCACCAGAGUCUGUCGCUGUCACCUGCUACACCCACUUCUCCUAGGGGAGUUUGCAUGGUCUGCCCUCUGGCCAUAGGUGAUUGCACCAGGGCUGGGCAUUGAACCAAGGGAAAGCAAGAAAUAAACUGGCUGAGCCAUGCAAGUCCUUUCUCAUGAGCAUUUGAAUUAAGGAGUUAUGAAAACCGAGUUACUUAGGUGGGGGCGGGCAAUGGAGACUAGCUGGAAGCUACCCUGGGCCAGGGUGAGCCAGGAGAGGAGAGUGGAGCAGAGGCCCAGGGAAAGGAGAGACCAGAGACCCCCAUUGUUUACCCCAGGUGUGCUGGGAAUGUGUCCAUGCACACACACCCUCUGGCCUCACCCACUCUAACAGAGUCCCCAACAUACAACCAGCCCAGCGUCUUCUCAGAUCCCAUGAGAUCUGACUGUAUUUUCCACUGCUGAGUUCUCUGAGAUUCCCAUCUAUCUUCCCAGGAAAUUCUCUUUUCGCUUCCACUGGUUUGAGCAUGUUUGUCCUUAUAGCCUGUGAGCCCUGGCUACAACAUCAGCUCAAGUAAUUCGACCAGCUCAGGGCCUGACUCCUCUGGGAAGCCUUCUGCCUACCUCUCUGUGUUCGUCUCAUCUUCCCCAGAGAGAUCCCAAACCCUACCACAGUGGCGGUCACUUCCCUUUCCUUCUCAACAUCCAGUACGUACUUGUGGAUUGGCCACAUCUUCUAACUUUGCAGUGCCCGUUUCCAAUUUUGCCCUUUGAAAUUGUACUGUCCUUAUGGUUACCACUUAAUGUUCUAGCAAAUCCAUG